CACGUAGGGGGCAAGCGUUGUCCGGAUUUAUUGGGCGUAAAGAGCUCGUAGGCGGUUCGGUAAGUCGGGUGUGAAACCUCCAGGCUCAACCUGGAGACGCCACCCGAUACUGCUGUGACUAGAGUCCGGUAGGGGAGCGUGGAAUUCCUGGUGUAGCGGUGAAAUGCGCAGAUAUCGAGAGGAACACCUGCGGCGAAGGCGGGUUGCUGGGCUGACACUGACGCUGAUGUGCGAAAGCUAGGGGAGCGAACGGG
rnacentral:rRNA from 1 species